UUUGUUUUUGAAGUAAUAAAAAUGAAAGUAAUAACGCAAAAAAAGAAGUAAAAAAUAGGGGGAAAAAAAUGUCUGAAAGAGUAGUUUCAAUAUAAUACAAAAAGAAAUUCAAAAGUUUCAAACGUUGGGGUGUGGUUCCAAGCACCCUUUCCCAUGAGUGUGUAUGCAGCACAAGUUUUCAGGCAGCAUCACAGAGCCAUGGACGUUCAUCGUUUCUCUGGCUAUAGAAGCACAAAGCCCCAUUGCUUCUUAUGUGGACAAAAGGAUAGCAGUGUAGGUGGUGUUCCGAUGCAGCUCCAGUUACCGUCAACGGGUUUUAAUCUUAAUCAUUAAGUCAGUGUAUAUUGUUGUUUCUGAUCCGAUGAAGUAUAGUGGGGUUGCUACAUUAAGUGGGUUUUUGAGCGGUGAAUUUGACAUUGAAUGUGUAGUGAAACGAGAAGUUCUCAGUCUUUUUGAACUUCAAAUGGGUUCCCAUUGAAUUUCUUCAUAAUUAAUCUUAAAAGUGGAAGUUGCAAUUUGGAUUUCAAA